rnacentral:rRNA from 1 species
GAUGAACGCUGGCGGCGUGCCUAAUACAUGCAAGUCGAGCGAACAGACGAGGAGCUUGCUCCUCUGACGUUAGCGGCGGACGGGUGAGUAACACGUGGAUAACCUACCUAUAAGACUGGGAUAACUUCGGGAAACCGGAGCUAAUACCGGAUAAUAUAUUGAACCGCAUGGUUCAAUAGUGAAAGACGGUUUUGCUGUCACUUAUAGCUGGAUCCGCGCCGCAUUAGCUAGUUGGUAAGGUAACGGCUUACCAAGGCAACGCUGCGUAGCCGACCUGAGAGGGUGAUCGGCCACACUGGAACUGAGACACGGUCCAGACUCCUACGGGAGGCAGCAGUAGGGAAUCUUGCGCAAUGGGCGAAAGCCUGACGGAGCAACGCCGCGUGAGUGAUGAAGGUCUUCGGAUCGUAAAACUCUGUUAUUAGGGAGGAACAAAUGUGUAAGUAACUAUGCACGCCUUGACGGUACCUAAUCAAAAAGCCACGGCUAACUACGUG